rnacentral:sRNA from 3 species
UGCAUCUGAAGCCUGACGAGGAUGAGAACCUCCGGGGGCAAGAGGUUCGACUUGAGCGCAGCGAGAGAACGUUGCGUCAGCAACGGCCCGCAGGGCGAGCCACGCAGUGGCGAGUCAUCCUCUAUCACCGACCA